rnacentral:rRNA from 1 species
UUGAACGCUGGCGGAAUGCUUUACCCAUGCAAGUCGAGCGGCAGCACGGGGGCAACCCUGGUGGCGAGCGGCGAACGGGUGAGUAAUACAUCGGAACAUGCCCAGUCGUGGGGGAUAACACUUCGAAAGAAGUGCUAAUACCGCAUACGUCCUGAGGGGGAAAGCGGGGGAUCGCAAGACCUCGCGCGAUUGGAGUGGCCGAUGUCAGAUUAGCUAGUUGGUGGGGUAAAGGCCUACCAAGGCAACGAUCUGUAGCUGGUCUGAGAGGAUGAUCAGCCACACUGGGACUGAGACACGGCCCAGACUCCUACGGGAGGCAGCAGUGGGGAAUUUUGGACAAUGGGGGCAACCCUGAUCCAGCCAUUCCGCGUGAGUGAAGAAGGCCUUCGGGUUGUAAAGCUCUUUCGGCAGGAACGAAACGGUGAGCUCUAACAUAGCUUGCUAAUGACGGUACCUGAAGAAGAAGCACCGGCUAACUACGUG